rnacentral:rRNA from 1 species
GAUGAACGCUGGCGGCGUGCCUAAUACAUGCAGGUCGAGCGAACGGACGAGAAGCUUGCUUCUCUGAUGUUAGCGGCGGACGGGUGAGUAACACGUGGAUAACCUACCUAUAAGACUGGGAUAACUUCGGGAAACCGGAGCUAAUACCGGAUAAUAUUUUGAACCGCAUGGUUCAAAAGUGAAAGACGGUCUUGCUGUCACUUAUAGAUGGAUCCGCGCUGCAUUAGCUAGUUAGUAAGGUAACGGCUUACCAAGGCAACGAUGCAUAGCCGACCUGAGAGGGUGAUCGGCCACACUGGAACUGAGACACGGUCCAGACUCCUACGGGAGGCAGCAGUAGGGAAUCUUCCGCAAUGGGCGAAAGCCUGACGGAGCAACGCCGCGUGAGUGAUGAAGGUCUUCGGAUCGUAAAACUCUGUUAUUAGGGAAGAACAUAUGUGUAAGUAACUGUGCACAUCUUGACGGUACCUAAUCAGAAAGCCACGGCUAACUACGUG